UACGGGGGGGGGCAAGCGUUGUUCGGAAUUACUGGGCGUAAAGGGCUCGUAGGCGGCCAACUAAGUCAGACGUGAAAUCCCUCGGCUUAACCGGGGAACUGCGUCUGAUACUGGAUGGCUUGAGAUUGGGAGAGGGAUGCGGAAUUCCAGGUGUAGCGGUGAAAUGCGUAGAUAUCUGGAGGAACACCGGUGGCGAAGGCGGCAUCCUGGACCAACACUGACGCUGAGGAGCGAAAGCGUGGGGAGCAAACAGG
rnacentral:rRNA from 1 species